GGCCGUAGUGCGUCUGGAACGGGUCCAGCAUGGUCAGCGAAUCUGUCAGCCGCAUCUUGGUCGCGAAGAAAGUGCCGCCUGCGCAGACAUGAAGAGGGCGUCGCUAGAAUCGUCAACCCACCGCACGCUCACAAGAGGACGUGGUGGACGCACUGAGGAGACCUGGAGACGAAGUCCAGUGGCAUGGUCGUAAGAAUGGGCUCGAGUGCUCACUGGCAAAGUCGGAACUCUUCUCAAAGGGACAGACAACCGCUGAGAACAUAAAUCGAGAUCUCGGUCGGGAAAAGGGCGCUCCGCCCAAACUGAACAAGAUCACCCAGGACGCAGCGAGCGCGCUGACCGACUGCGACGUUCCCGGACAACUCCACAUCGUCGACCUAGAGGACAACCGGGACGCGCUCACCACGUACAGCGAAAUUGCAAAACACCUUCACCUGGGGCGCCGCAUCUUUCCGUCGCCACACCCAAAAUAUAACAGGCCGCAUGCGCUAACACUACGCUUGCUCCGCACGCCCAUUUACAAAGUUACGCGUUUUCAAUCCCGACGCGUACCACAGUCACGUGCCCCUCAUCCAGAGACAGGGCGACACUCGCGCACAUGCUCCGAGAGUGAAGAAAGGCUCUUCUAGGCUGUACCUCGGACAAGUGGGAGAAGUCCCUUAGAAGCAUACUAGUCGCCGUCCAGCAAUGGGCCAUGCAGCAAGACCGCGAAGCGGCCGCCAGGUAUUGCAUGUCGGUACUACGUGUUGGUACUACGUGUCGGUACCAUGUCGGUACUACGUGGGACGCGCCCGCUACGCGCCAAGCGUGUCCGGCAGGACCAACAUAAACUUUUCCACUCAAGUUCGGUGCGUCAGUACUCGAAUUUCCGCCACGUGGACGCAUUUGAUGCCGUUUGUGGAUUCGUACAAUCGACUAAAGGAAUAAGAUUUUUAAUGUCUGUUUAACACUAGGCCCCCGGUACCCGCCGAGGGAUUGGAAAAGC